AUGCAUGUUUUCGUCUGCCCCAGUCGGACGAUCGCCCGCUCCUCGCCCGUCCGAUCAGUCCCGCGCGCCCGCACUCCUCAUCGCCCGUCCAACAGCUCCCGCCCGGCAAUCACGCUCCGCCCUUCCCCACCACGCCCGUCGCGCCUCCUCAUCGCACGUCCAACAGAUCCCGCCCCGCAAUCCAUCCGCCCGCAUCACACGUUCGCUCCCAAACCCUAGCACCAGAUCUCCUACUCCUCCGUCUGCUGCCACAUCCCCCUCCGAUCCCCUCUCCUCCUCCACCAGAUCCUCUACCGCGCCGCCGCUCCUUCACCAACCACCGUGCUAUCGUCCCGGUUCCCCUGCCAUCGCGCCGCCGUCUCAGUUCCCUGACCUCCGCAUCGCCGUCUCGGUUCCCCGGCCAUCGCGCCGCCGCUCCGGACGUCCUCAACCGUGACGCCACCCCGUGCGCCUGUGCACCGCUCCGGUCAUCCACAACCGCGCCGCCGCCUCGGUAUGCUAUGAGGUUGGAGGACAAAAACUGGAAAACCCGACAAAACCGCCCAUCGUUAAGGGGGCCGGGGCAGUCCAGAGCGCCAUUUUCUGGGGGGGGGGGUCUCGCCCCGCCGCCUGGGCGGGAUUCUCGCUGGAUCCGCCACCGGCUCGUCCCUCUCCCCCCCUCGACGACCCCUCGCUGCCUCGUGGAGGGAUGGAGGGAGGUGGGGAAGAUCGGGAGAAGGGGGGCCGCCGCCGCCAGCUGUACCCCAGAUCCGGAGGAGGAGGAUGAGCUCGCGUGGCUCCGAUCACCACGAUGUCCCCAUCCCUGAGGUUGCGUCGCCGGAGAGCCGUCCACCGUCGGAGAGCCGGAUGCAAAGAAGAACAAACAGUGCCGAUCUGUUCCUUCCCUUUCCCUGUGAAACCCCGUCGAUUCCGUUCUUUCCCACACGAAACCCCCAAAUCUCCUAUCGUUGCACUGCACCGAAUCGCACCAUCCGCGGAAUUCGAUCCCGAAUCGGCCCCAACCUGUGCUUCAAUCGAUCCGUGCCCGUGGUGAUCCGCCGUCUCGCCCCCGUCUUCUUCCAUCCACAACAGGCCCGGAGAAGGUGCCCGCUGCUUCCACCAUACACUACAAAGAGCUUAUUUUGAUCUCUCUGAUCUUCAUCUGGGAGGAGGCGAGAUGGGUGGAAUUCUGGUGAUCCUGAACGGCAACUACUACCACAGAACUGAGCACCUCAUCAUCAAGGAGUUCACGCCGAAUCAUACCCACACUAGGCUUCUGUUCCAAUGUGAGUUGCUCUCAUCUCCUGCAAUUUAUCUAUGUCUCUUUAUUUAUCCGUAUCAUUUCAUGAUUUUCCAAUGUAUGAAACUUGGAAAUGUAAAUAGAUGGCGUUAAACCGUGGGUUGUGGUGACUGUGAGUAAGUGACAAAUUUGGCUAACGACAUACCAAUCAGUAUGCUCUGAACAAAGCUUGUAGACUUUUAAAAUUCCAGUACCACAGUGGUUGUAAGAAGCUGUAAGAGUUAAUAUUAGAGUCAAGCAAAAGCUUUAGAGUUCCUUUCUUAAUUUGUUAGUAAGGGUUGCUACUCUUUUAUCUAAUCUGUUGACUUGCUAUCCAUGGUACUGCUGAUAUUUCUUUCCUUUGAAUGCAUAUGCAGAGCUCCUGCCACUUUUUUUUAAAAAAAAAUUAUUGACUUCAUGCCAGAAAGUACCAGGGUUAGAUGAAUCUGAUGAAAGCAGGUCUGGUUGAAUCUGACCUCUGAGAUUAAUCUUGUUGAUUUCGGAAAAGGUUUUCACUGUCUCCCAAGUAUGUUAGUUGAGCGAUCAAAUUGGACUAUUUAUCGAAAGCGACUGCAAAUCUAUGGCUUGAUUUAUUUAUUGGGAUGAAAAUGAAGAAUUCAGUGUGCUCUGAACAACAAAUUUUGGACAACACACAAGUGGUUUUGUUGUUUGUUCUGCAACUAUGAAAUUUACAAUACUCUGUUCAACUUCUUCACUAGAGCAGAGUCCACUAUUUCUUCCAUUUACUCUCUUAUUUUCAAACUGGGAACUUUACAGUUCUGUUGUAUCUCUUGGUACAAAACCUUGCAGGUUUUGGUUAACCAUGGAGUAAGUAAGGUGGUAGCAUCCGAGCACCCGAAUUUCAAGGUCAGUGAUCUUGUGUGGGGAAUAACUGGAUGGGAGGAGUACAUACUCAUCCCUAAUUCAGAGUCUCUCUUCAAGAUCAAUCAUCCUGAAAUGCUUAUGUCGUACUACAUAGGUGUUCUUGGCAUGCCUGGUCUUACUGCAUACACUGGAUUUUUCGAUGUGUCCAAGCCUAAGAAAGGCGAUUAUGUUUUCGUCUCAGUGGCAUCAGUGUGUUCAUUGGUUUUGAAAGAUAGUGCUCAUCUGCUAUGCACUACAUGAAUUGCACGCAGAAGCAAAGGUUGCCUAAAGAAAUCAAGGCAAGCAGAGGCCUUAAAGCUUGGUUUGAACACACUAUUUGUUGUGGAAGUUCUUCGCUGGAUGGUCGUCAAUGGUCGAAGCUGCCCUUCUGUCCCAUAGGGAAUAGUAUGCAAAGGCACAAGACUUUUUGUGAUGAAUAAAUAGAAAAUGCACAAUCUAAUUUCCAAUUAUUAACCCUUCCGUCCCAUAGGAAAUCGUAUGCAAAGGCACGAGCCUUUUUGUGAUGAAUAAAUAGAAAAUGCACAAACUAAUUUCAAAUUAUUAACAAUCGACAUCCAUGUUGUGAGCAGCCAUGAAAAUUGUAUAAGUGGUUUUAUCAUCC